GCCCAGGCGUGAAUCAGAGACCGAGAAAGAAAAAGGGUCGCGUGAGGAUUGAGCCAGACCCCGUGCCCGGCCCUGGCUCAGUCAGUUGUCAUGAUUUUAUAGUCCCUCUUGAGGGGGGACGGAAACUCCUUCGUUGGGGGUCAGCUAAGUCAAAAAGCCGUGAGUUCAGUUCGCUGCCCGAGGUGACCAGAAACUUGCUUGGAUGAAGUCAUGUGAGCUGAACCGAUUGGCCCGAAUCCUCAAAGAGGGGAGUGUCAGGGCGCGCGGCUCCCUCGGAGAGGCUGAGGUAACGCUGGCACCUUCCCGAGAGUCCCCGGACGCCUGGCUUCUGAGUCUCUGUGGAAAGCACUUCUAGCUGGGCGUUGGCGCGCCUGACGAACUGUGCAGUCACUGAGCAGUUGUGGCGAUUGGAAAAUCAGUUUCACGCCCCAGGAAUGUCUGCGAGAGCCGUCCCCGCCCCGCUUCCCAGACCCAGCCCAAAAAAAAAAAAAAAAAAAAAAUCCAAACCAAAACCAACUGAGAAAUGGGGCUAGAAAUUGAUGAGGGAUUCCUAGCACCUCAGAAUGUUGACUUGGUAACUUUAUUUUUAAGUCUUUAACAAAUUGUGUUUAUGUCACGUAGAAAUUUUAAGCAGCUUCCGGGGGGUUUUGUGUCCCACUUGGAACCAACUUAAAGAGCAGCUUGCGCAUAAAUUGGAAUUCUGUGAAUCGUACCGCCGGUUAGAGCCCUUAACACACGUAGCGUGUAAACAAAUAUUUCCAACUUGUCGGCGACGGGAUCACUAUGCAAGGCGGGCUUACAAAAAUCCGUGGCGAAUGAAAUCUCACUUCUGAAAGUGAAAAACGCAAAUUCAAGCAGCGUCCGGAUACCUUGCGCCCAUUCAGACAGGGACUGAAGGCUAAAUUAAUACAGUCUUCCUAAAGGAACUGUUUGAAAGGAUGUUACAAAAGUAGGAACACCUUUGGACCCAGCAAUUCUACUUUUUGGAAUUUAUCCUAAAGACAGUCUUGAAGGACACGAACAACGGUGUGCGUGGCAACGUGGCUUCUGAUAUCAAAGCGUCGUUCACCACUAAAAUGCCCAAUAUAAACUACAUCACCUCCUGGUGCUUCAAUUUUAUUUUCUCAUCUGUGAGAAGCAGGAACAAUCAUAGGGUUGUGAGCAUGGAAUGGAUGAAUACAAACCAAACCCUUAGGUGCCUAGCAUGUAGUAAGCACUAAAUAAACUUUUGUCAGGUAUGAAAUAAUUCUUCAGGAAUGAAGUUCUCAUGUAAAAUAGUAAACCUAUUGAACAGAAGGAUUUUACUUAAGAAGAUUUGACUUUCAGCUGGUGGCCUAGAACCAAGUUUGUACAAUUGAUUCUACUUUUGAGGAGAUUCUAGGUUUGUUUUGUCCUGCCUCCAUGUUCAUGGUGAGCCCUCAGCCUGCAAUAUACUCUUGCAAUUUGUCGGAAUCACACUCAUUUUUCAAGUAUUCAAUGGUGGUUUCUUGCACAAAGCCUUUUUGGAUCCCCCCCCAAACAAGGUAUGUUUUCUGACGGCUCUUUAACUCUCGUAGCACUUUGUGACUUAUUUUAUUUUGUCUGUUGAUGGACAUGUGGAUUAUUUUCAGUUUGGGGUUACUAUGAAUAAAGCUGUUAUGAACGUUUGUGUCGAAGUCUGUGGGGACCUGUUUUUGUUCUCUUGGUUAAAUAACUAGUAAUGAGAUUGUUGGGUCAUAUGGUAACCAAGAGUGUGUUGAUCUUUUUGAAGAAAUUACCAAACUGUUUUCCCAAGUGUUAUUCUCUUUAGCCACAUAUGAGAAUGCCAAUUGCUCCACAUCCUUGUCAACAUUUAAAAAGUAGUGAUACCUUACUGUGGGUUUG